UACAGAGGUCCCGAGCGUUUGUUCGGAUUCAUUGGGCGUAAAGGGUGCGUAGGCGGUCUUCUAAGUUUUGAUGUGAAAUCCCGGGGCUCAACCCUGGAAUUGCAUUGAAUACUGGAGGACUCGAGUCCCGGAGAGGAAACUGGAAUUUACGGUGUAGCAGUGAAAUGCGUAGAGAUCGUAAGGAAGACCAGUGGCGAAGGCGAGUUUCUGGACGGGUACUGACGCUGAGGCACGAAGGCCAGGGGAGCAAACAGG
rnacentral:rRNA from 1 species